UGACUGCUCUGACAGCGAUCACAAUAGAGGGUCCUGACAGAACUGGAGAAAAAUGUAGAACAAAAUUCUAACUCAAAAAGAAAGACCAGACUUGCUGGCCUGACAGAGACUGGAGAAACCCUGGGAGUAUGGCCCAUGGACACCCUUUUAGCUCAGUAAUGCAGUCACUUCUGAGGUUCACCCUUCAGCCAAAGAUUAGACAAGCCCAUAAAACAAAACGAGACUAAAGGGGCCCACCAGCCCAGGGGCAAGGACUAGAAGGCAGGAGGGGACAGGAAAGCUGGGAAUAGGGAACCCAAGGUCGAGAAGGGAGACUGUUGACAUGUCAUGGGGUUGUUAACCAACGUCAUAAAACAAUGUGUGUACUAACUGUUUAAUGAGAAGCUAGUUCUGUAAACCUUCAUCUAAAGUACAAUUAAAAAAAAAAAUUUCACUGGGCCCGGACUCUCAGAUAUUAGUCUGUAUAAAGGCUGUAAUACUGGAGAAUGAGAUCUGCAGGCAGUUCAGGGUCAGAGUAGAUCCCCCCGAAUUCCAGAUGAAGGGUCAGAGCUGAGGUACGCUAACCAGGCUCUGGGCAGCUCUGGUGUCCGCUGAGAUCAAGGUUCCACACCGUGGCAGCCCAGGGGCCCUGGACCUGCCCGGGCUGUGGGAAGGCCCGUCUGCCCUCAUGCUCAGAUGUCAUGGAGUCUGGGAGCCAGGGCCAGAGGGGCCUGGGAACAGAAAUGGCCCCAUUGCCAGGGAUGCCACCCCUCCCUGAGUCACUGGCUCACCACCUCAUCCAAAUAUCGCUCCAGAGGCCAGCCGGAAAUGAGGGUGCUGCCGCCUUGUCCUGGGAGCCAGAGCAGGGGUGGGGAGGUAAGGGGUAGGAGAGGUCUGGUCACCCCUACCUCCUUGCCCAGGCCUGGGGUCUCUGCCUGCACCGCUCUCAGGGUCACUUGCCCUUGUGCACUGGGGAAUUCUGGGAGAGGGUCUGGAUGGGCGCCAGGACCACUUCCUCCUGGGGGACAAAAGCAUCAGGGCAGGGGGCCUUCCUCCUUUGUCUGGACCCUGACAUAAGGUUGAAAUCCUGUUUGGCAGCGGCCCUGCCUCUGUGAGCCUGGGUCUCUGAUCACCCUGGGCGUGUCCAGCCUCCUACUGUCCCCAGCAACCCCCUGGGUACCGCCCCGGCCCUUACAGCCACCACAUAAGGAAAUGUUUGUGCCUUUGGGCAGCAGCUCGGCUUGCUUGCUCCCUCCCUCUGUCUCCCUCCCCGCCCAGGCUGCCUCCCAGACCGGCGGCUGUGGGGACCAGAGGCACCGCCCUGAGGCCGGGGCGGGGGAGUAGGGAGGGCAGGUGGUGUGGGGACUCAUCAUUUGCUCUGAGGCCCAGAGAGCGCCCUGACCUUCUCUGGGCUGGGGGCGAGGGAGGAGGGCAGGAUACAUUUGGGGUCAAAGAGACCCCUGACUUUGGGUUCCUGUGGAGUGGCAUGGAGACUGAUCUUCCUAAAGAAACUCCACCCACAGUGUGGUUCCCCAGGGAGCCCAGAGCAAUGCCACUUCCCUGGGUUGUAAUGGAGGCGUCCUGACCCCCCCAGCCACUGCUUAGAGAAACAUUUCACAACCUGCUUCUGGCGGGCAAGUUCAGGCUCACGUGGGCUGCCUUCCUUCUGGAGUUUUCCAUUAAAUUAUUUACAAGUCACACUGGCCGUGAACAAGCCCACAGACCUCUGAAGGAAGUUGGCGGGCACAAGGUGCAUUUAUCCUUCUGCAAAGUCUCAUUUCUCAAGGGACCCUUCCUCUCUUAAAUGUGGCCCCCUAGAGGUAAGAAAGAAGCUGCCAAGGGUGGCACCUUUGAUGCCCCUGAGGUUACUAUUGGAGGCCAGAGAUUCCCCAGCAGGUGCUUCCUGGGCACGGACCCCGUGCCCAGUGAGGCACUCAGAGGGACAGUUCUGUUCCCCGCUUGGGUGGUAGGUAAAGGGCAGGGUGGGUGAGGGAGGAUGACACCACCCAGGUUCUUGGGCCUUUUGCAGGGCCAGAUUAAGGCAUGGGAGGGCCCUAAACACUGAUACUCUGUGGUGUCCCUCUUGUGCUUACUCACACAUUUGAACAGGACAUGUGAGUUAUGAUAUGUAUAUGUAUGUAUGUACUGCUGGCCCUCCUGGCUGGAGUUGCUGGAUCAGCAGACAUGGAUGUAAAAAACAGUUCCCUCAAAAUGGAUAGAGGCCUGUUAUCUGUUAAUAUAAUUCAUCCUUUCCCAGUAAUGAUCAAGUUGGAUCCAGUUGCAGAUUGGGUGGAGGUAGCAAGAGUUAGACUCCACAACCAACCCUCUACCUCUUGUUUAUUAGAAAGAAAGAGUAUACUCCCAAGAGACCAGUGGAGAUAAGGAGCUUCAAUUAUAAAGGAGGGGCCCAUAGGGGACAAGUAUCAACGAAGGUGUUAAAGUGGUAGGGAUCUCACAGCUUAAACAACCUUGUGUGUGGGUGCCCUCAUGACCCUGUGUGCACUUUAUUUCCAGCCAGCACGUUCUCACACACUGGAACUGGUACCAGUUUCAUUUAGUGCCCUGCCAGUUCCCUCCCGCUGCAGCGCUUGCUUUUCCUUGUGCCCUGUUGCUUCGCAUCUAUGGGUCUUUGGACAACUGGUGCCCCUAUUUUGUUGAUUCCCUAAGCAGGUACUUACCUUGCUUACUGGGUAAUUCAUCCCCGGCCUUUUGGGAAGUGUGAAAGGUGGAGCUGUGAGCCGGUACUACCUGUCAGCAGUAGGAGGGUGGGACCGCCUCACCUGCUUCCAGGUACACAGACUUUAUUUAGAUCACAUCUCCAAGCCUGGUUUCCUAGGAGGACCCAACCCAUGACCCUGCUGGUGGACUGAAACCAAACCAAACCAAACUCGGUGGCAAAACCUGAGUGACACAGAAACAAGAAGUCCACUGGCCUAAGGCCCCACCUCCCAGGCUGGCAGAGCUGCCCAAAUGUGGCUGCAGAGUGCUCAGCAGAGACACCCAACCUGACAGGCUGUCCCUGUGGGUCUUUUUACUUAAAGUCCGGGGUGCUCCUGAGGGUGUGUCAGCUCUGCAUUCCCCACCCUGGCAGCCUUAACUGGACCUGCCCCAGGCUGAGGCAACUGUGCCCAAUCAUACAGCUCUCCAUGUUGGCAGGGGUCACGUUGCCCAUCUGCCUCUAGCCCCUGCAGCACUGUAACCCAGGCGCAUUAUUACAGCCAGGACGAAGAGCCUACUGGGUGGGUCCUGAGGUCCUGUGACUAGGGUCUAUGGGCCCCUAGAGGCAGGAACUGUGUUGAUAGCUCUAACUCCCAACCCCCUCACAUAGCAAGUGCUCAAAAAAUACCUUCUGGAUGACAGAACAGAUCUUCCGCUGCAGUGGACCAAGAUCUGGGCCUGAAAAAAGGUGGUCAAUACCACCUAAGGUGCCCUGUGAAAGGGCUGUUUUCCAUCAUGAGCCAUUCAAACAGGGGCUCCGUGAUCCGUCUUGGGGAUGUUGUGGAGCGGCUCGCAUUGGGAAUGUAAAGGUACGUCAUUGGAGACGGACUUUUACGUCCUUCAAGUGUACCUAUGUACCACAAGCAUAAAAACCACUUGCCAUCCAGUCGAUUCUGACUCAUGGCGACCCCAUGUGUGUCAGUGUAGAACUGUGCCAUAGAGGGUUUUCAGUAGCUGAUUUUUCAUAAGUAGAUCGCCAGGCCUUUCUUCCAAGGUGCCUCUGGAUGGAUUCAAACUGCCAACCUUGGUAAGCAGCCAAGAGCCAUUAGGCGUUUGUACCAUCCAGGGACUCCAACAGGAGUAAAUCUGUAGCCCUAUGUAAAGUGCGCGCUGAGGUGGUGCUUCUUUGAUAGACAAAGAGGAAUUCUGCCCUGUUCUCCGGUGCGGUAUCUCCCUCCACCUGCACUGAGGGCGAGCGGUAGCUGGGCGAGUGGAAAGCUUCGCAGGCUCAGAGGAGCCAGGAACUGCUCACUUUGUCGUUGUGGCCCUGGGUCUCUGGGCAAGCUUCCUCAUGUCUUGCUGAUGUCAGAGGAGUCCCUGGGUGGUGCAAAUGAUUAACUUGUGAAACGUUGGAGGUUCAAGUCCACCCACAUGCAACUCAGAAGAAAGGCCUGAUGA